rnacentral:rRNA from 1 species
GAUGAACGCUAGCUACAGGCUUAACACAUGCAAGUCGAGGGGCAUCAGGAAGAAAGCUUGCUUUCUUUGCCGGCGACCGGCGCACGGGUGAGUAACACGUAUCCAACCUGCCCUUUACUCGGGGAUAGCCUUUCGAAAGAAAGAUUAAUACCCGAUAGCAUAAUGAUUCCGCAUGGUUUCAUUAUUAAAGGAUUCCGGUAAAGGAUGGGGAUGCGUUCCAUUAGGUUGUUGGUGAGGUAACGGCUCACCAAGCCUUCGAUGGAUAGGGGUUCUGAGAGGAAGGUCCCCCACAUUGGAACUGAGACACGGUCCAAACUCCUACGGGAGGCAGCAGUGAGGAAUAUUGGUCAAUGGGCGCUAGCCUGAACCAGCCAAGUAGCGUGAAGGAUGAAGGCUCUAUGGGUCGUAAACUUCUUUUAUAUAAGAAUAAAGUGCAGUAUGUAUACUGUUUUGUAUGUAUUAUAUGAAUAAGGAUCGGCUAACUCCGUGCCAGCAGCCGCGGUAAUACGGAGGAUCCGAGCGUUAUCCGGAUUUAUUGGGUUUAAAGGGAGCGUAGGUGGACUGGUAAGUCAGUUGUGAAAGUUUGCGGCUCAACCGUAAAAUUGCAGUUGAUACUGUCAGUCUUGAGUACAGUAGAGGUGGGCGGAAUUCGUGGUGUAGCGGUGAAAUGCUUAGAUAUCACGAAGAACUCCGAUUGCGAAGGCAGCUCACUGGACUGCAACUGACACUGAUGCUCGAAAGUGUGGGUAUCAAACAGGAUUAGAUACCCUGGUAGUCCACACAGUAAACGAUGAAUACUCGCUGUUUGCGAUAUACAGUAAGCGGCCAAGCGAAAGCAUUAAGUAUUCCACCUGGGGAGUACGCCGGCAACGGUGAAACUCAAAGGAAUUGACGGGGGCCCGCACAAGCGGAGGAACAUGUGGUUUAAUUCGAUGAUACGCGAGGAACCUUACCCGGGCUUAAAUUGCAGUGGAAUGAUGUGGAAACAUGUCAGUGAGCAAUCACCGCUGUGAAGGUGCUGCAUGGUUGUCGUCAGCUCGUGCCGUGAGGUGUCGGCUUAAGUGCCAUAACGAGCGCAACCCUUAUCUUCAGUUACUAACAGGUCAUGCUGAGGACUCUGGAGAGACUGCCGUCGUAAGAUGUGAGGAAGGUGGGGAUGACGUCAAAUCAGCACGGCCCUUACGUCCGGGGCUACACACGUGUUACAAUGGGGGGUACAGAAGGCAGCUAGCGGGUGACCGUAUGCUAAUCCCAAAAUCCUCUCUCAGUUCGGAUCGAAGUCUGCAACCCGACUUCGUGAAGCUGGAUUCGCUAGUAAUCGCGCAUCAGCCACGGCGCGGUGAAUACGUUCCCGGGCCUUGUACACACCGCCCGUCAAGCCAUGGGAGCCGGGGGUACCUGAAGUACGUAACCGCAAGGAUCGUCCUAGGGUAAAACUGGUGAC